rnacentral:rRNA from 1 species
AACGGAAAGGCCCUGCUUGCAGGGUACUCGAGUGGCGAACGGGUGAGUAACACGUGGGUGAUCUGCCCUGCACUUCGGGAUAAGCUUGGGAAACUGGGUCUAAUACCGGAUAGGAGCCAUCUUUAGUGUGGUGGUUGGAAAGUUUUUUCGGUGUAGGAUGAGCUCGCGGCCUAUCAGCUUGUUGGUGGGGUAAUGGCCUACCAAGGCGGCGACGGGUAGCCGGCCUGAGAGGGUGUACGGCCACAUUGGGACUGAGAUACGGCCCAGACUCCUACGGGAGGCAGCAGUGGGGAAUAUUGCACAAUGGGCGCAAGCCUGAUGCAGCGACGCCGCGUGGGGGAUGAAGGCCUUCGGGUUGUAAACUCCUUUCGCUAGGGACGAAGCUUUUUUGUGACGGUACCUAGAUAAGAAGCACCGGCUAACUACGUGCCAGCAGCCGCGGUAAUACGUAGGGUGCGAGCGUUGUCCGGAAUUACUGGGCGUAAAGGGCUCGUAGGUGGUUUGUCGCGUCGUCUGUGAAAUUCUGGGGCUUAACUCCGGGCGUGCAGGCGAUACGGGCAUAACUUGAGUGCUGUGGGGGUAACUGGAAUUCCUGGUGUAGCGGUGAAAUGCGCAGAUAUCAGGAGGAACACCGAUGGCGAAGGCAGGUUACUGGGCAGUUACUGACGCUGAGGAGCGAAAGCAUGGGUAGCGAACAGGAUUAGAUACCCUGGU